rnacentral:misc_RNA from 1 species
CGAGGCGAACUUCGGAUUCAGGACACUAGAACAUUCGGGAUUCAGGUGAUUGCAUCAAAGCGUCAUUCGGGGCAAAAACCGCCUCGAAAAUCGUCAUUUCCGAACCGUUGAGGAGAACUUGAGAAUGGCAGUCCGUGUCGCGAUCAAUGGAUUUGGCCGUAUCGGCCGCAACAUUCUGCGGGCCAUUUAUGAAUCCAAGCGCACGGACAUCGAGGUGGUCGCCAUCAACGAUCUCGGGCCGGUCGAAACCAACGCCCAUCUGCUGCGCUACGAUUCCGUGCAUGGACGGUUCCCGGGCACCGUGACCGUCGAGGGCGACUCGA